rnacentral:rRNA from 1 species
AUGAACGCUGGCGGCGUGGAUAAGGCAUGCAAGUCAAACGGAUUUUAUUUAUUUCAAGAUGAGAUUAUAUCAAGUCAAGAAAUUUAUAAGAUUAGUGGCAGACGGGGUAGUAACACGUAGGAACUCACCCCAGAGACGGGUAUAAUCCCGCGAAAGCGGGACUAAUUCCCGAUAGUUCCCGAAAGGGUAAAACACUUAGAUUGGCUCUGGGAGAGGCCUGCGGGCUAUCAGCUAGUUGGCGGGGUAAUGGCCCACCAAGGCUACGACGGCUAGGGGGAGUGAGAGCUUGGCCCCCACCAAUGGAACUGCGACACGGUCCAUACACCUACGGGUGGCAGCAGCCGAGAAUAUUGGUCAAUGGGCGAAAGCCUGAACCAGCGACGCCGCGUGCAGGAGGAAGUCCUUCGGGACGUAAACUGCUUUUUUAGGGGAGGAACGAAAGUGACUGUACCCUAAGAAUAAGGGCUUGCUAACCUCGU